GACGAACGCUGGCGGCAUGCCUAACACAUGCAAGUCGAACGGAGAUUACUUCGGUAAUCUUUGUGGCGGACGGGCGAGUAAGGCUAGGGCAAGCUGCCCUCGAGAUGGGUACACCAUCCCGCAAUGGGUGCUAAUAAGGAAUGUGACAGCAAUCUCGCAUGAGGAUGCUGUGGUAGAUGACCUCUAUGUAUAAGCUAUCGCUAGAGGAUGGACCUGCGUCUGAGUAGCUAGUUGGUGGGGUAACGGCCUACCAAGGCGAGGUGCAGUAGCUGGUCUGAGAGGAGGAAAUGCCACACUGGGACGGAGACACGGCCCGGAACCCUAGGAGAGGGAGCAGGGCGGAACCUUUCGCAAUGGGAGAAAGCCUGAAGAAGCCAUGACGCGGGAGUGAUGAAGGAAGUCGUUCCGUAAAGCUCUUGUGUGUAUGAGGAAUGUGCAGCUUGUAAAUAAGAAAAUGAAAUGACGGUAGUAAACGAAUAAGCCACGGCUAACUACGUG
rnacentral:rRNA from 1 species